ensembl:miRNA
ACUAACGAAUGGUGCACAGGAAAAUGACCUAUGCAUCGACAGACAGUAUAGUCGAGUGUGUCUGUCGUUUCUAUAGGCCAAUAUUCUGUAUAUCUUUGUUACUUCAA